UUGGCGCGUCCCGGGAUCUCCGCGCGUCACUUCAGGGAGCCCUCGCCUCCCGGAGGAGCUCGGGAAUUUUGAAAGAAGUUCUGUGGGGGCAGAGGUGAAGAAGUGACCCCGUCUGCUCUCUACAUCCAGGAAACUGCCUGACUAUGAACUAGAUCUUGAAGGAUGAGCAUAUGUCUUGACAACUUAAGAGGAAAACAAUUCCUGGCAGAAAUAAGAGCAUAUGUACAUCAGCUAAGGAUGCUAGGAGCUGCACACCUUCCCUAUGGACAUCUUGUUACCAGUCUACUUGCACACUGGAUUCUGAUUCAUUUUCAUGAAACAGUGGCUUCAUCAUGUCACUCUCCAACUCCAAAAUUUAUAACAACUUACUGUCUGAGGGAUAAAUGUCAAAUUCUUGAACCUGCUACUCAAAUUUCUACAUUUUUAUUUGACAAUGGAAAUACUUAAAACUAGUCACCAAAGGCUCUUCCCACCCAUCAAAAUGUAAUAAAUGAGAAGUGACUUAAGAGUAGUAAUGUAAUUUUAACUUUGAAUUAAACCACCUGACUGGAAAGAUAACUCCUUGAUAGCUCUUUGCUACUAAAUUAUAGAAUACAGAAGAUGACUCUCACACUCAAUAAUGUGUUGACCUGUUUCAGUUACAAAGUCAAGGAAAUACCAUUUUGGGGGAAGAGAUACUUCUGUAGGUCUUCACACAAUUCUGAAUCCGUUCAUAAUGGAAUUUGUUGGAAGUGUGAAAACUUCCCAAUUCUUCCAGUUACUAGAUACAUCAAGAAAAGGUCCCCUGAGUCUCUUCACUCUUGUAGCAGAUCUAAGACUGCAGCCCAAUACAGUAAGCUUAGUCGUAUAUAGCUACUGAGCACUUGAAAUGUGGCUAUUGUGACUGAGGAACUGAAUAUUUAAUUUUAGUUAAAU